rnacentral:pre_miRNA from 1 species
AAGGGCCUGAUCCAAAACCCACUGAAGUCAAUGGGAGUCUUUUCAUUGACUUUGUGGGCUUUGGAUCAGAUCCCAAAUUU